CCAACCCCGCCAGCAGUACACAGCUGUCUCUCCUUUAUAUUGUGGCUCCUCAACUCAUUGUUUCAUUGCUGCGCGCACUCGUAUUUACUCGCUCACCAAUCAAGCAUUCUAGCGACCAAAACCAUUCUGUCAACUAACAAACUGCCUGGCUGACUGACUUACUGACUGUUUGUUGUUUUUAGACGUCGGCGACAACGACAGCAGCAGCAGCAGCAGCCGCAGCAGCAGAAUUAUUUACAGCGACAACUGUGCAAUACAAAGUGUCGAUGACGAUGACGCGCGAACACAUGAAUUGACUGAGUCACAGCAGCAGUCAGUUACUUAGUUCAUUUCAUUGUUGGUGCGCUCAGUUGACGCGGUCAUACUGUCGUUUGAGCUGUUGUUGGUGGUGUUUUUGGAGCACGAACGAGCAUACGGGCAUUCACAGCCGUACACAGUGGAGCUUCGCAAGUCGUUGGCGUUGACGUUGGCCGGCAGUUGCAUUCGACGCGCCAUCGAAUCGGGUUGUAGUGUAGUCGUCGUGUACCGAUGUAGCUACGUGAGUGCUGUGGAGUAGCUGGGUUACGUCGCGUCGUUAAGGUCGUCAGCAAAUUUUUUCCGCACAGCGACUCGUCGUUCGUAUGUGGCUCGUUUUCGUUUGCCGUUUGCCGUCAGCAGCGUUGUCAACGUCACAGGCACUGAAUGCGCGGUGGUGUGAACAGUGUUUUUGGGCUGUAGAUCAUGCCAAAUACGGGCCGGCAGUUGACAGGCUAACACAGCAGUGCGAAUUAGAAUAGAAUCAAGUGACAACGGUUUGGCGUAUGAAUUUGCAAGUGUAAAUAUUUAACGCAAAAAAAAAACAAAAGAAACAACCAAAAAGUGAAUAAAAAUGCAUAAACGAGUUAAAGCAAAGAAAUGUGAUUUUCGCAAGGAUUUCUAAUUAGAAAAUAAAAUGAUAAAUCAUAAGUGAUACGAAGCAAAAAAACAAAAAAACAAGCAGAGAGAAGCAAAAAGCUACUGCAUUCAUAACAAUAACAACCAGCACAACAAUAACACCAAAGUGUAGUGCGACAUUCCAGUACUAGCCGUCAGUGUGUAUGGGCGCGAGUGUGUGUGCUUUUUUUGUGAUUUUUUCCCCAUUUUGCUUUGCGCAGGCGUGCACGCCCUUCCUUAUGGUCGCGACGUCGGCAGCUGCUCAUACAAAGUAGUAAAAUAAACAUCUUUUGUAUGUUUCUCGUAUUGUUUCGCUUAAAUUGCUGAUGCCUAGCGAAAUGACUGAUUCCAUAAAAUUAUCCGAAAUGCAACGCAGUAGUAUCGAAUUCGAACGUCAACGACAUUUGGCCAACUGGUUUAUCAAAAGUAGUCCGCACAUGGCAACACCGACGACUGUCGCUACCGUUGCUACAACAACAACAACAGCAAGCUCAGCAGCCGCAGCAGCAGCUGGUGCAACAACAGAUAACACAACUGCUAGCAAUGCAGUGUGUGCAACAACAAAAAAUACCACAGUAUCAACAACAAAUCUAGUAGGUGGCAACCAUACAAAUGGCAUGUCAGCGUCAGCCGCCUCACAUCAUCACCAACAGCAAUUGAGUGCCAAGCAUCACAACAGUUGUGGUGGUGGUGGUGGUAGUGGUGGUGCUGGUGGCAGCAGCGGUAAUCCACCGCCCGUCUUUUUCUUAGUCUCCAGCAAUGGCAACACAAAUGGCAAUAUCGUCAAUGGCAAGCACAGCAGCAAUGCGUCACCGGCUGCUACAGGUGUUGCUACGCCGCCCAAUGCGAUAAGUGCUGUCUCCGGCGGUCCGUUAGGCCAUUUCGCACCCGUCGAGGGACGCAAACCCAAGCUGCGACGUUUCAACUCGCACGACACCAGCGCGAAUAUGUUCUCGGUGGCCGAUUUCGAGAAUGCACGCCUAGCGCGACGCAAUGAAAUCGAAAUGAAACAACGUUUGGCACGACGCAUGCGUAUGAGUGCCAAUGGCGGCUACGCUUGUUCGGCUGGCGGCAUGGGCGCGAACUUGGCUAGUGGCAGUGGCGUGGGCGGCAAUGGCUGUGGGCUGGGUGCAAGUGGCAACGGCAUGGGUGUGGGUACGGGCGGCAGCAGCAUGUGUGGUGGUGGUGAUUACUCCACCGGUGACAGCAAGGCAUCCAAAUAUAGCAAUGAGUCGCAACACGAGCCAUUGCCAGCGGAUAUCUUUCUCGAUCGCUACUCAUUGCCACGCGUUGUCCGCAUUUCGUAUAAAACGAAAUUCUCUGAUGAAACAUUGCAAUCGUCCUCGUCGAAUGGCUCCUCCACAGCCACAACGAAUACCACAGGCACCAGUGCCUCCAAUUCGUCGGUGAGUGCUUGUGGUCUAACGGUGGCUAUUAACACCGGCACCUCCUCAUCGACGGCCUCCUCAAGCGGUAAUGUGAAUGCGCACAGCUCGGGUGCUACGAAUACGAGCAGCAGUGGCGGUGGUGGUGGUGGUGGUGGUAGUAGUGGCGAGAGAGUAGGUUCAAAGCACUCCACACCACAUAACACAACAUCUCCAUCCGCCUCAGCUACAGCAACUCAGUCAAAUACAGCAAUUAACGGUAAUAGCAAUGCAGAUGCGGAACAACGCGAAGAUCAUGGCGAAUUAUUUUUGUUGUAUCGGCUGAUACGGCAACGUCACAUUUUUCACGGACAUAAUGCUAAAACUGCGGCAGCGAGUCGCAAAAAAGGCGUGCUGAUACCGCAAGAAUUUCCAGGUUACUUUUCUCUGCUCAACGACAAGGGAAUACCCACAGCGACACUCUACACAUCGCUCAUACAGUUGGUGCGCGAACGUGUGUACAAAUUCGUCUCAGUCGACAAUAUGCCCGCCUUUACGGAAUCCCAGCCCAACGUAAAUAACCCACCCACGGAGGGUUGCAUACCAAUAUACUCCCAACCACCGCCACCACCGACCAAUAAUCGACCACAAUAUGUGAAGACAACUGCGCGAGGUGGCCAAGUAUUUCGAUUGCUUGCCGUUUUCGAAGAUGGCAAACAAGAUCACGCUACCAUCGGUUGUACCGGUGGAGUAACCGCAAAAGCGUAUAACAAUCAUGGCCGUGAAAAGGAGAAGGGCCGCUAUGCACAAUUGCUAAACGAGAACCGGCAGGUGUUGUACGUGUCGCUCUCCACAAAAGGGAAAUUCUACGAAAUCGAGCCGGGCAUACCACAAAUACUGCAGAAGCUUGGUGGCAUUGGCAACGAGGCGAACAAGAAGGCCAAUCCCGAUUGUGUGCAUCGCAUAACAGCGCUGAUAACACCACAGCGUGAAUUGCCGCUUACGCUGCGCUACAUUUCGGGACCGAAUGGCUGUAACAGCGCGAUACCCGACAAUGUGUGCAUUACGCACAUAACCACCGAGAACGUAGUGAUUGCCUGCCCCAUUGAAGAUGUGGAGGUGCAAAGUCCACUACACUUACGCAAACUGCAUCUGUCGAAAGAGAUGAAUUUGCUGAAGAGCUCACUCGGUUUCGAAAGCGAGCAACGUAUGCUCGCCAACCCCAAUGUGCAAAACAUACUAAAAUUUUGUCAAUUCAAUUGUGAUCAAUUCUUGAAGAUGGUUGAGGUCGAGAUACUGCACCGUCCGGAGCGCUCGGGCUCGAAAAGUCGUGGGGAAGGUUUGAAAAUCCUAAAACCCUUGCAUCUGCCAAAGUUGCUGAGGCGCGAGAAAACGACGAUACCAGCGCACGAAAAGGAAGACUCAAUUAUCUUCCUUAGCAAAUCGGAUCUUGCCAAUCUAGAGGCGAAAGAGGCAGCAGCGCAAGCUGCAUUCGAGAGUGCGACAAGCAGCGCAAAUCGCAUUACCGAGAAGAUGAAAGUUUUCCAAUCGACGAAGAAGAAAUGGUUCCGCAAGCAGGACAAGCAUGCUGCGCACACGAUGACCUCCUACGAACUGGAUGUGCAGGCGAAGCGCAUGAGCAUGGAACGCUAUUCGGAUAUGUCUAAGCUGUUACAGGAACGAUUCGGCGAUAAGCCAAAUACGCAAACUCACGAUGUACACGAGAGUUUUUCGGAGCCAAGUGGUGGCGCAUCGGACAUUGGCUGUUCAGACACAGAAACCACAACAUUGGCGACCAUCGAUGAGAAAUUGAAAAAAGUCGAAACGCGCGGAAAAAAAUUGAUGACGAAAUCUAUGUCGCUACAGGAUAUUGAGCUCAUCAGUGGCGGUGCUGCAUCGCGUAAGCCCGAUUUACUACCAAAUGACACCAUCUCAGAAGCGGGCACCGAUGUGGAGGAUCUUGAGAAUCAAGAUACCAUACCACAAUCUUUCAUUACCGAAAAGCUGUACAAUGAAUUUCACGUGAAAACGCGCCAGUACAGUAAAUCUUCCUCGAGCUUGCAUCAGCUGCUCAACUUUUCGCUGCCACAAAAAAUGCAGCUGCACGAUAACAAGCGCUCCAUGGCACAGCUGAAGCACAACACUAACAAUGGCGUUGUGGCAAAACCAACAGCCACUGAUAGGCGACUUGAUUUCAAUAUUGGCGAACCGGUAACAGGCAGACGCGCUGCCGGUGGACUUUCAUUGCUCGCAGGUAACGCUGGCGUUGCUAACAGUCUUGGCAUUUUGGGCAACCACUCUGCACUUGCCUCACCACUCACACCCACCAGUCUAAUAGACGAUCUACCCUAUUCAAGUGUACGCGAUUCGCUGGUGCUUUCAAGCGACGAAUCAGCAUCCGACAAUCCAACGGGCAACAUCUGUCAAGCGCUCAAUCUGAUCGACUACAACAAAGAGAAUAUCUAUGCGGAAAUAUGUCACGACAAUGUAAGUCAUAAGGCGGCAGGAUCUUCGACAUCGGCGGCGGCAGCUGGCACUACUGUCUCGGCCAUGGGUGGCAUUUGCACUUCGGCCACACGUGAAACCUUUUCCAAUGAAACACAUUCCACGCAGAUCUCCGACGACUAUGGUGACUACGCCUCGCUGACAUACACCGCAAUCGAGUGUCCUACGCCAGCGGUGAGUGGCAACAAUGUGGCCGGUGCAUUGAGUAAAUCAGCGAGUGGACAAACUGUGGCUAGCGACAGAUUGGCGCCAACUGGGUUGGCAAUUAGUCGCGUACAAAUCAACUGCAAUGCCGUCAGUCCGGUGAGCUAUCACACUGUAUAUCUCGGUGAAGAGCCGCUCAGCGGUGGUGAAAAGCAAAGUGGGCGCGCGGCGAGACGCAACAAGGUGGGCAGCAAGAGUCGCGCGCAUGUCACCACAGUGGCGUUAGAAGGUAAUACGGCUGCGUAUGAAGCGCACAAUGGCGGCAGCGGCGGCGGCGGCGGCGGAAGUAUUAGCACUACAGCUGCGAGCAUUGCGAACGAACUGGAGGAGGUGGCCGAUAAUAUCUAUAAUACACUCAAAUGAUGACUAAUGUGAUUCAGUUGGAAAUUGGGUGCUUCUGUAUUGAGUAUGAUGAGCAGCGGCAAGGGGUUCUAUUGAAAAGCUGAGUGAGUCGGCCAAGCAGAGAGUACAUACAUGCGUGCAUGUACGCGCUUGCCUAGCAAGAUUGAUUGAUAACAAAAUUACGACAUCCGGGAGAGUAUUUCUGGCUGUGACGUAACUAUUGGAUAAACAAGAAAGGGAACGGCGUAGAAGGAUAAAUUUGCACGUAAAUAACAAUAGAAAUGAGACAUGAGUAGAAAAACAAUAAUAAAAUGAGAACAAACAUCCAAUUAUUACGUCAGCAAAUCAGCUGAUACUGUCAAAUUCACUGAGCGCGGGCGAAUGGUUAGCGGAUGUCGCCACCUUCUGUAUUCUCUUCACCGGGCAUACAUCUGUAGUAGAAGCAGGAGUGCUGAGAGAACUAGUGAUUAAAUUUAGUAUACUAUUAAAUACGAAUCGAACUGCUCGAAAGAGGGAACAGCAAUGUGAUGUUUAGGGUUUUCUAAAUGACAUGAAUGGUGCGUUUAAAAGCUGUAAAUAAAUAUUUAAGAAAGAGAACAAGAAGAAGAGGUUGAUUGAGUGUUGGCUGUUGGUGAAACAAAGGUAUUAUUACAGAAGUGCAAGAGUAGCGGAGAAAUUUCGUAUGCAACAGCGGCUGUAGCGGCUAAUGCGUUGAGGCAUUCACAAAUGAAUUGUAAUAAGGAAAAUUUUUUAAAAUAGAAAUUUAUUAAAUUUAAAAGAAAAAUAUGUAUGGAUAGACAUGCACCUUUUAACUUUUAAAAGCGAUUUUACUUUUCUAAUUUAUAAUUUUGUAAAUUACGUCAAAGGCCGACGAAGAACAGUAGAAAUGACAACUCAAAAUGUAAUAUUAAAAAACAAAAAAACACAAAAAAUAAAUACUUAAAAAGAAAAAAAGAUUAAAUUGCAAAACCCCAAACAAAUUUAAAUAUAAUUAUUUGCUGUAGAAUAUAAAAAGAAAAAAAUAAGUUUAAGACAAAGUUCUUGGGAUUAAAGCAGUGUAAAAAAUAUCACAAAAAAGAAAACAAAAUUGGAAGAAAUUAUUUAAUUUUUUUGGCAUUUUCACUAAUUUACAAAUGAAUUGUAUAGAAAAUGAUUACUUGCUGUACAAUUCACACUUUUUAGUACAUAUGUAAGUGUAUUCGCAUAAAAAGUCAUUUUAGUUUUUAAUGAAAAAUUAAACUAUAUUCGUAACUGGAAAAUUUUAGAAAUUUUAAAUUUAAGAAAUAAUUAUUUUUAAUACUUAAAUUGUAAAAGGCUCUCACUACUGCGAUUUAAAUGGUGUUUGGUUUGCUAGUCGCUGUUCAAUUUCUUUUUGAUUUGCAUAAAAAUUAUUAUAACAAAAUUAUUUAUUUUUUUAUUUCUACAAUUUUUCGGUUUUUCCUGGUCUAUAAUUAAUCUUUAAAAGCGAAUAUAUUUUUAAAAGUUAUUAUUGUAAUAAAAAUACAUUUAAAACAUCAAACCAUAUGUAUGUACAUAUAUAAAUAAUAAACUCUGAAAAGCGCAAUCGCUUUGUCCAUUUUGUUUACAAAGCAAUGAAAUUUUUAUUUUAAGUCAAACACAAACGAAUUUGGUUCUAUUUAAUUUUUGUGUAUUAUUAAUUAUGUAUUAUUUUUUCCACUUAUCUAAG